rnacentral:misc_RNA from 1 species
UUUCCGUAGGUGAACCUGCGGAAGGAUCAUUCAUAAUAAGUGUUUUAUGGCACUUUUUUAAAUCCAUAUCCACCUUGUGUGCAAUGUCAGGGUUGGUCUCUUUUGAUCAGCCCCAAACAUCAACUAUUAUCUCAACUCUUUGUCUGAAAAGUAUUAUGAAUAAAACAAUUCAAAAUACAACUUUCAACAACGGAUCUCUUGGCUCUC